UAGGGAAUCUUCCACAAUGGGCGAAAGCCUGAUGGAGCAACGCCGCGUGUGUGAUGAAGGGUUUCGGCUCGUAAAACACUGUUGUAAGAGAAGAAUGACAUUGAGAGUAACUGUUCAAUGUGUGACGGCAUCUUACCAGAAAGGAACGGCUAAAUACGUGCCAA
rnacentral:rRNA from 1 species